UCUAGCUACCAGCAGCAGUGUAGGUCUGUCCACAACUGUUGCCUUUAUUCAAGGGACUAUCUAGCUACCAGCAGCAGUGUAGGUCUGUCCACAACUGUUGCCUAUAUUCACGGGACUAUCUAGCUACCAGCAGCAGUGUAGGUCUGUCAACAACUGUUGACUAUAUUCACGGGACUAUCUAGCUACCAGCAGCAGUGUAGGUCUGUCCACAACUGUUGCCUAUAUUCACGGGACUAUCUAGCUACCAGCAGCAGUGUAGUUCUGUCCACAACUGUUGCCUUUAUUCACGGGACUAUCUAGCUACCAGCAGCAGUGUAGGUCUGUCCACAACUGUUGCCUUUAUUCAUGGGACUAUCUAGCUACCAGCAGCAGUGUAGGUCUGUCCACAACUGUUGCCUAUAUUCAUGGGACUAUCUAGCUACCAGCAGCAGUGUAGUUCUGUCCACAACUGUUGCCUUUAUUCACGGGACUAUCUAGCUACCAG